UACGGAGGGUGCAAGCGUUACUCGGAAUCACUGGGCGUAAAGAGCGCGCAGGCGGAUUGAUAAGCUAGGUGUGAAAUCCUACAGCUCAACUGUAGAACUGCACCUAGAACUGUCAGUCUAGAGUCUGGGAGAGGUGAGUGGAAUUAGUGGUGUAGGGGUAAAAUCCGUAGAGAUCACUAGGAAUACCGAAAGCGAAGGCAACUCACUGGAACAGUACUGACGCUGAGGCGCGAAAGCGUGGGGAGCAAACAGGAUUAGAUACCCUGGUAGUCCACGCCCUAAACGAUGGAUGCUAGUCGUUGCCAUGCAAGUCAUGGCAGUGAUGCAGCUAACGCAUUAAGCAUCCCGCCUGGGGAGUACGGUCGCAAGAUUAAAACUCAAAGGAAUAGACGGGGACCCGCACAAGUGGUGGAGCAUGUGGUUUAAUUCGAAGAUACGCGAAGAACCUUACCUGGCCUUGACAUCCCGCGAACCCUGCAGAGAUGCGGGGGUGCUACUUCGGUAGAGCGCGGUGACAGGUGCUGCACGGCUGUCGUCAGCUCGUGUCGUGAGAUGUUGGGUUAAGUCCCGCAACGAGCGCAACCCUCGUGACUAGUUGCUAACGGUUCGGCCGAGAACUCUAGUCAGACUGCCUGGGCAACCAGGAGGAAGGUGAGGACGACGUCAAGUCAUCAUGGCCCUUACGGCCAGGGCGACACACGUGCUACAAUGGGUAGGACAAUGAGAAGCGAUACCGCGAGGUGGAGCAAAUCUAUAAACCUACUCUCAGUUCGGAUUGCAGUCUGCAACUCGACUGCAUGAAGCUGGAAUCACUAGUAAUCGUGGAUCAGCCAUGCCACGGUGAAUACGUUCCCGGGUC
rnacentral:rRNA from 1 species